rnacentral:lncRNA from 1 species
AAGAGGUAAAAGAUCCGAUGGAUAUCUGAUAGUGAUAUGGGUUUUCGGAUAUAGGCUGGUUGGAUCUGUAAUUGUUUUAUUUUAGUGAGGAUACACGUUUGUAUUUUAACCAAGUUUCAAUUUUUUUAAUUAAAUUUUUUUUUUCCCUUUGGUCAAACCCUUAGAAAAAUAGAAGAAGGAGUCAAAGGGUACAAGAUAUUUUAGUCCAUCAAUUGCCCGCUUCCUUUUUUUUUCCUUUUUGUUUUGAUUAAUAAGUGUCGGUUGUUUAGUCUUUGGUUACAUGUGUUCCACAAAAUAGUCUUUCGUUACACCAAACACAAAAAAAAAAGUUUUUGGUUUCUUUGAGAUAAAAAUAAAAUAAAAAUAUAGCCUUUAUCUCAAUUAUUUUCAAAUAAUUCAACCAACAAUAUAUAUAU